GGGGGGGGGGGGGGGGGGGGGGGGGGGGGGGGGGGGGAGGGGGGGGGGCGGGCGGGGGGGGGGGGCUCGAGGGGCGAACGGGGGAGUAACACGGGAGUAACCUGCCCUUGACUUUGGGAUAACUUCAGGAAACUGGGGCUAAUACCGGAUAGGAGCUCCUGCUGCAUGGUGGGGGUUGGAAAGUUUCGGCGGUUGGGGAUGGACUCGCGGCUUAUCAGCUUGUUGGUGGGGUAGUGGCUUACCAAGGCUUUGACGGGUAGCCGGCCUGAGAGGGUGACCGGCCACAUUGGGACUGAGAUACGGCCCAGACUCCUACGGGAGGCAGCAGUGGGGAAUAUUGCACAAUGGGCGGAAGCCUGAUGCAGCAACGCCGCGUGCGGGAUGACGGCCUUCGGGUUGUAAACCGCUUUCGCCUGUGACGAAGCGUGAGUGACGGUAAUGGGUAAAGAAGCACCGGCUAACUACGUG
rnacentral:rRNA from 1 species